GGAAUAUUGCGCAAUGGGCGAAAGCCUGACGCAGCAACGCCGCGUGAGUGAUGAAGGUCUUCGGAUCGUAAAGCUCUGUCGGCAGGGAAGAAAAUCCAUUUGGCUAAUAUCCAAGUGGACUGACGGUACCUGCAAAGGAAGCACCGGCUAACUCUGUGCCAGCAGCCGCGGUAAGACAGAGGGUGCAAACGUUGUUCGGAAUUACUGGGCGUAAAGCGCGUGUAGGCGGCUCGGAAAGUCGGAUGUGAAAGCCCUGGGCUCAACCCAGGAAGUGCACCCGAAACUUUCGAGCUGGAGUCCUGGAGAGGAAGGCGGAAUUCUCGGUGUAGAGGUGAAAUUCGUAGAUAUCGAGAGGAACACCGGUGGCGAAGGCGGCCUUCUGGACAGUGACUGACGCUGAGACGCGAAAGCGUGGGGAGC
rnacentral:rRNA from 1 species